rnacentral:rRNA from 1 species
UACAGAGGUCCCAAGCGUUGUUCGGAUUCAUUGGGCGUAAAGGGUGCGUAGGCGGCGCGGUAAGUCGGGUGUGAAAUCUCGAAGCUUAACUCCGAAACUGCAUUCGAUACUGCCGUGCUUGAGGACUGGAGAGGAGACUGGAAUUUACGGUGUAGCGGUGAAAUGCGUAGAUAUCGUAAGGAAGACCAGUGGCGAAGGCGGGUCUCUGGACAGUUCCUGACGCUGAGGCACGAAGGCCAGGGGGAGCAAACGGGA